rnacentral:rRNA from 2 species
GAGUUUGAUCCUGGCUCAGAUUGAACGCUGGCGGCAGGCCUAACACAUGCAAGUCGAGCGGAUGACGGGAGCUUGCUCCUUGAUUCAGCGGCGGACGGGUGAGUAAUGCCUAGGAAUCUGCCUGGUAGUGGGGGACAACGUUUCGAAAGGAACGCUAAUACCGCAUACGUCCUACGGGAGAAAGCAGGGGACCUUCGGGCCUUGCGCUAUCAGAUGAGCCUAGGUCGGAUUAGCUAGUUGGUGGGGUAAUGGCUCACCAAGGCGACGAUCCGUAACUGGUCUGAGAGGAUGAUCAGUCACACUGGAACUGAGACACGGUCCAGACUCCUACGGGAGGCAGCAGUGGGGAAUAUUGGACAAUGGGCGAAAGCCUGAUCCAGCCAUGCCGCGUGUGUGAAGAAGGUCUUCGGAUUGUAAAGCACUUUAAGUUGGGAGGAAGGGCAGUAAGUUAAUACCUUGCUGUUUUGACGUUACCGACAGAAUAAGCACCGGCUAACUCUGUGCCAGCAGC